GGUUCUUUAAGCUGCACGCGAAAUCUGGAUACAGCUUUAUGGCCAAUGCGAUGUUUGUCAGGGGCCCCAGGCAAACCAAGCUUACGAGACCUUAAAUUAAGAAGAAUCAAAGCGUACGCAGCAUGAGUCGUUUGCAUUUUACUGGUAUCCGGUUCGUUCGUGUACACAUCGCCAAAUCCGUCCACCCCGUGAUAACACUCAUGUUCUCCUGCUUAUUCUACGAAGGUAUAAGACGAAGUGAUCCAUUUGUCACAAUAAUAUAACUUACAUCGUAGUCUUCGAACAGUUCGAG